rnacentral:rRNA from 1 species
GAGCGGCAAGGGAGCAAUUCCCCUUAGAGCGGCGGACUGGUGAGUAACGCGUGGGUGAUCUACCCUGGGGUUGGGGAUAGCCAUUAGAAAUAGUGGGUAAUACCGAAUACGGCCGUGAGACUAUGGUUUUACGAAGAAAGGGGCUACGGCCCCCGCCCCGGGAUGAGCCCGCGUCCCAUUAGGUAGUUGGUGAGGUAAAGGCCCACCAAGCCGGAGAUGGGUAGCCGGCCUGAGAGGGUGAACGGCCACACUGGGACUGAGAUACGGCCCAGACUCCUACGGGAGGCAGCAGCUAAGAAUAUUCCGCAAUGGACGAAAGUCUGACGGAGCGACGCCGCGUGUAUGAAGAAGGCCGAAAGGUUGUAAAGUACUUUUAUUGCUGAAGAAUAAGCAGGGGAGGGAAUGCCCCUGUGAUGACGCGAAGCAAUGAAUAAG